rnacentral:misc_RNA from 1 species
CACAAAUAUGAAAGCAGACCCUCAUUGGGGCGUAACGUCACGCCGUGUCCGCAAUAGCGUCAUUGCUGUUGUGCUGACGCGGCGGGGGGGUAACGCCCUUUUGGGCCAGUCUGACUCCCACUUUAUUAGUUCCGUACCCCAUAGUCGGCUCCUUCCCAUUUUGCGUACUUACUUGUUUCCUUCGGGGGUCGCAGCCGCCAAUUGGACACCAAUAACCUUUUUUGUAAUUGCAAUCAGCGUCAUGCAAAAUAAUGCUAAUUAAUUA